rnacentral:tRNA from 1 species
GCGGGAAUAGCUCAGCGGUAGAGCACCGGCUUUCCAAGCCGGGGUCACAGGUUCGAAUCCUGGGUCCCGCUCCA